rnacentral:rRNA from 1 species
GCGUGGGGGAUGAAGGUCUUCGGAUUGUAAACCCCUGUUGAGAGGGACGAAGGCUUGAGGGCAAACAGUCCUCAAGCUUGACGGUACCUCGAGAGGAAGCCCCGGCUAACUCUGUGCCAGCAGCCGCGGUAAUACAGAGGGGGCGAGCGUUAUUCGGAAUUAUUGGGCGUAAAGGGCGCGUAGGCGGCUGCGCAAGUCUUGGGUGAAAUCCCUCGGCUCAACCGAGGAACUGCCUUGGAAACUGCGCGGCUCGAGGCCGGGAGAGGAUGGUGGAAUUCCCAGUGUAGCGGUGAAAUGCGU